CGCCUCUCAUUUACAGUAUCAUCAUGCGGACCGCUCUGCUUCUCGCGGUGUUCUCGUGCUUUUCUCUUAUCGAGGGAAAGCCAUUCGAAGAUAAAACGUGUGUUGGAAUUCGCAGAGAAGAUUCGUCCUAUGACUUUGACCUGCCCGACGCUGUGGCCGUGAACUUGCAAGACCUCACCUGUGAUGCAGAGUGGACCAUUGAUCAAUUCACAGCUAUCCUGGAUGGAAAUUCAGCAUACUUUUCACAUCCCUUCAAAAACGUAACCCGUAAUGGAAUCAGUGUGACUUACUGUCCAUUUUCAGUCACAUUCCAUGCCUCUUGUCUUAAUUAUGUCAAUCACCUUACAUGUUCUUGCACCAAUUCCACCAGCAUCUAUCCAGUGUUUAGCACAACUCUGCCAUCUAGAGGUAUGUCAUUAACGUCUAUAUUUGAAUCAUGUCAAAUCCUGUUGCUUUUGCAACACUGUAAUAAAAUAACCUAAACCAUUUAGUCCAGUGUUGGAGUAGAACACAUAACCUAUAUUUCUUUAAAGUGUACAGCAAAUAUGCCUUCAGGAAAUAGUGGUAGGGAUAUAGUAUGUGGUGAUAUUAGAGGAAGAUUUUGCAAAUGCAUGUACUGACAUUUUGUAAUAUAACUGCAUUUCCAGAUUCAUCCUCCACUGCAAUCAAAACUAAUUCUUCAGUGAGACAACACUUUCAGAAAUUCCUCACAAAACAGAAGAAUAACAGUAGUAAUAAUUAUCCUCAUUUCGAUGUUGGUCAAGGUUAUGGAAUCGCAGACUGCAAAAACAAUGCAAGUUCUCUCUCUAGUUUUGCUGAACCUUGUAAAAAUUACCUCCCUGAAAUUCCUGUUGUUUCGCAAGCCACUCCUAAAAAACAAAUGCAACGUUUAAAGGGUGACUAAACCCUUGGUCAGAGCCUGACUCCACCCACUGGCAAUAUUUGAAAAAUGCUGAAAAGUGGCAGAGCACAGCGGAGGUAGAGGGGACGAACCGAGGGCGGGGUUGAGUGGGUGGGGUGUGAACCUCAGACCCGCAGUAACGGAUUAAUUGACAGUGUCAAAACUCAGUUGAGCAAUCUCAAAGAGCAAACCAAUCUAAGCAACAAGAUACACAACCAAAAACAACUGCACUAAACUGAGUUCUCUUAGGAACCUUUUAAAAAAUGUAAACUGGAAAUAGAUUCCUGGCUGUGGAAGCUACACUAGAGUUCUGGAGAUGGGGACAGAAAAACAUAACUGCAAGUGAUAUUGCAACAGAAUGUUGCCAUUGCUGUUGCUGCCAUUUUUGUCAUAACCCUUGUCAUUUUGGCUUUCCACUCUGCAAGCACAGCGAAAUAUGCUCCUGAAGAACAAAACCAGCCUGGUUCAGUAGAAUGAGCCUGAGGAGGCAACUGUAAUUGCCCUAGAAACAACACAUGGCGUGGAGUCAUAACAACACAUUAUCCUAUAAUGUAACACAUAUUAUAUUAUAUUAUAUUAUAUUAUAUUAUAUUAUAUUAUAUUAUAUUAUAUUAUAUUAUAUAGUCAAAAAUUGAGAUUUUCCACUGUAUAUUAUAUUAUAUUAUAUAGUCCAAAACUGGGAUUUUUCACUGUAUAUUAUAUUAUAUUAUAUUAUAUUAUAUUAUAUUAUAUUAUAUUAUUCAAAACUGUGAUUUUUCACUGUAUCACUCCGCUUGUCCGUGUUCCAUUUUGAACUUGGGUUUUUCAUUGAUUCAUUCUGCAACUAACUUGGUUACGCUAACCGGUUAUGACAAGUGAGGGUUUUGUAUUGAAUGUCUUUUGUAUAAACGAGUUACUGAAUCAUUCAUUCAUUUACUCAAGUAACUUAAUAUUACUCAAGUUAAUCAAUAUUGUAUAAAACCAUACCAAUCAGUAUAACAAUGUCACGCUUUUGGUGCUGCAACAGAACACACAACAGAGUAUGUGGAAGUGGAACGACAUCAAAUUCCUCUCCUUGCUCAAUAAGUUCUGUAAUCAUGUUACUUCACUCCCUCUACACAUUUCCUAUUUCUCACUGGUUAGAGAAAAACACUGCUCUUAGAGUAAGAGAAAACACAGACAUACUAAAAGUGACACAAACAGUGAAAUAUCAGAGUUUUACUAAAUAUGGUCACUGUUGUACCUGUAUUAUAUUAUAUUAUUAUAUUAUAUUAUAUUAUAUUAUAUUAUAUUAUAUUAUAUUAUAUUAUAUUAUAUCAUAUCAUAUAUUAAGUUUAAUAUGAAGUCUAAUAUAAAGGUUAUAACUUUGUAUUUCCUCCCAGUAUUUACAAUAGUUUCCUGUCUCUUCUGUUGUUAGAUAUUGUUUUUUACACAAAUUGGGCUUAAAAGUUUUAAUCAUUAACGUUACAUAGCGGCGCUUGUGUUCAUCUUUGCUUAGUGCUGUAAAUCUUGUUUGCUCGUAGUUCUAAACACUUUUAUAGGAAUUUCUUAUUUAUUUCAGGUUUUUCCAUCCUUGUAGCUCUUUUUAAUUUUUUUGUUUGUUUGUUUUGAGUUAUUCUGAAACUGCCAUUAAACCUAUGCCUUUUACUCAA
ensembl:lncRNA